AACACAUGCAAGUCGAACGAACCCUUCGGGGUUAGUGGCGCACGGGUGCGUAACGCGUGGGAAUCUGCCCUUUGCUUCGGAAUAACAGUUAGAAAUGACUGCUAAUACCGGAUGAUGUCUUCGGACCAAAGAUUUAUCGGCAAAGGAUGAGCCCGCGUAGGAUUAGGUAGUUGGUGGGGUAAAGGCCUACCAAGCCGACGAUCCUUAGCUGGUCUGAGAGGAUGAUCAGCCACACUGGGACUGAGACACGGCCCAGACUCCUACGGGAGGCAGCAGUGGGGAAUAUUGGACAAUGGGCGAAAGCCUGAUCCAGCAAUGCCGCGUGAGUGAUGAAGGCCUUAGGGUCGUAAAGCUCUUUUACCCGGGAUGAUAAUGACAGUACCGGGAGAAUAAGCCCCGGCUAACUCCGUGCCAGCAGCCGCGGUAAUACGGAGGGGGCUAGCGUUGUUCGGAAUUACUGGGCGUAAAGCGUACGUAGGCGGUUAUUCAAGUCAGAGGUGAAAGCCCGGGGCUCAACCCCGGAACGGCCUUUGAAACUAGGUAGCUAGAGUCUUGGAGAGGUCAGUGGAAUUCCGAGUGUAGAGGUGAAAUUCGUAGAUAUUCGGAAGAACACCAGUGGCGAAGGCGACUGACUGGACAAGUACUGACGCUGAG
rnacentral:rRNA from 1 species